GUGCUCACUUUGACAGCACAUAAACAUAAAAAUGAUCCAGAGAAGAUUAACAUGGUACCUGUCCACGGAUGACAUACAAAUUCAUAGUGGUUCAUAGUUUUCUA